rnacentral:snRNA from 1 species
GUUUUGAAAGCUUAGGAUAAAACUAUACAUAGAAGAUUAACAUGGCCCUUCCACAAGGAAGGCACACAAAUUUGUGAAGUGUUCCNUAUACAC